GCCUCGUUAACGCAGCAGGUAGCGCGUCAGUCUCAUAAUCUGUAAGGUCGUGAGUUCGAUCCUCACACGGGGCA